rnacentral:tRNA from 1 species
GCGCCUGUGGUUUAGUGGUAAAAUCCAUCGUUGCCAUCGAUGGGCCCCGGAUUCGAUUUCCGGCGGGCGCA